rnacentral:lncRNA from 1 species
CUCCGCCGCUCCUCGGCCGCCGCUCCCCGGCAGCCCCCGGCCGUCCCCUGCCCCGGCCGGGAGCGGCCCCGAGCCGCCGGGCGCGCUCCGGGAGGGCGAAGCUGCCGGCGUCCUCCUCGCCUUUAUCACUCGCAAUUAGGCGGACGGUCUUCCCCCUCUUCCCUCGCUCCAGUCUGGGAUGAUAAUUAAAAUUUAAUGAAGCCUGGGAGUAGCGGAGCUCUGCCUGGGGACCGCGGGAUGGAAUAUUUUAACUGUACGUUUACACCAAGUGUCUGGCUUCAAAGACGUGACUGCUUUUAAUCUCGAAUUAGAAAACCACAGACCUGAAAUUAAAUAUUAGCCACCCUCGGCUCCCCUGCCUUCCCGGCACGCUGUCACGGCCGCGUCUCCCUGCCCUGCCCCACGACACACCGCCCCGCUCCCCAAUUACCCUGUCGUUAAUAAUAGAUGGCUUUGCCAGGGCGCGGUAUUCCGGGCCUCGCCGAUUUUUUUUUUUCCCUCCCCCCCCCCCCCUUUUUUUUUUUUAAUAGGGUUAAUGCAAUAUUAAUUGCUGGCGGCUGCUAUAAGAGCGCGCCGCGUUUUUCCAGGGACAAAUCGCCGGAGCGGGGCAGCCGGCGCGCGGGGAGGAGGCGGAGGCGCAGCCCCGGGGCCGCGCAGGUUUUGCCAAACGCGUCAGCCGCGAGGCUCCGGUGCCGGUGUGCUGGGGGGGCCGUGCACGCACCCGGCAGUGCCGCCGUACGCAGCUGCGGGCCCGCUGCCAGAGCAGGGGCACGGCGUGGAUGAGAGCGGGCAGAAAAGGGGGAAAAAAUGCACCAGAGACUUUUCCCAGAGUUUUACGUUUUUAUCUGGGCCUUCACAUCAAUUCCCUGCUUCUGCCCACGGCAGCAGCAGCACCAGGGCUCCUCACGGCUCUCAGUGCCCUGGGUGCCUGGGGGAGCUGCUUGCCCUCCUUCCAGCAGGGGAUGGACGAGGAACCACGAAGAACCCUUCCAGCCCCCAGCAGAGCACCCAGAGCAGGGGCCCAACCCUGCCGCACCUGCCCCACGCCUCCAGGCAGCUGAGCCCCCCAGGUUGGGUUUGGCAGUGGGGGCAACGUGCCCAACCCCGUGCCCAGGCACAGCACGGGCUGGUGCCCGUCCCCACGGCAGCACAGCUCCCCGCGUCACAGCCUGGCCCACGGCGGGGAGGCCGAGCAGCGCUGGAGCCGAGGAGGCCCGUUUCCCCUCGGAUUCACAUCUUCUGCUUGUAUUCUCGGGUGUCCAAUAA